rnacentral:rRNA from 1 species
AUUGAACGCUGGCGGCAUGCCUUACACAUGCAAGUCGAACGGCAGCACGGGUGCUUGCCCCUGGUUGCGAGUGGCGAACGGGUGAGUAAUACAUCGGAACAUGUCCUGUAGGGGGGGAUAGCCCGGCGAAAGCCGGAUUAAUACCGCAUACGAUCUACGGAUGAAAGCGGGGGACCGUCGGGCCUCGCGCUAUAGGGUUGGCCGAUGGCUGAUUAGCUAGUUGGUGGGGUAAAGGCCUACCAAGGCGACGAUCAGUAGCUGGUCUGAGAGGACGACCAGCCACACUGGGACUGAGACACGGCCCAGACUCCUACGGGAGGCAGCAGUGGGGAAUUUUGGACAAUGGGCGAAAGCCUGAUCCAGCAAUGCCGCAUGUGUGAAGAAGGCCUUCGGGUUGUAAAGCACUUUUGUCCGGAAAGAAAUCCUUGGACCUAAUACGGUCGGGGGAUGACGGUACCGGAAGAAUAAGCACCGGCUAACUACGUG